ACACCGUUGGUGAAGUGGUUAUCAUGCUUGCCUUCCAUCUGGGACUGGUCCGUUCAGUGAGCAAGCGGCUCGGGUUCGAUUCCCGAACGGUGUA